AAGUUAAGCUCGAUGUUCCAGUUAACAUAGUGGUAUUAUCAUGAAAAGAAAUAAAACAGUAAUAAAGAAUGGUCAUGUAUAAUAGUUAUCUCAACACCCAAAACCAUAUAUAGCAAUAAAAAAGACUACCCAAAAGUUCAGGGGUAAACAAGGUGAAAAGAUAACUAGACUAGGGUGACCUAUUGGGUCCCAUAAAAAUUAAGACUAUGCAUGAUAAAAUGAUUAUAUAGAACAUUAUUGGGUAAAUAAAAGUGGUCAAGGGCACAACUUUCCUUCAAUGAGCUCCUGCUCAACAACUUCUACCUGUUGAACACCUCGAUCCUCGGCCACUGGCUCGUCUAGUCGCCAUAAUAUAAACAAACAUGGUACAAGGGAGAAAAUAACAUCACACCAAACAUGAAUUCAGAAUACAUAAUAAUAAUAUACGCAUCGAAACGAUAUCGUAGGAACAAGAAUCACUAAAUUCGGAGUUACGGAUUUUAUGUUAUGAUUUUCCGAAGUUUUUGUGUAUUUGUUACAAAAUUAACUAAGUGAUCAAUUUUAAUAUGGGUAUCAUGCUAAAACAGAGAUACUAAAUGGUAAACGAUAUUAAUACCAAAUUAUAGAAAUUGGAAUGGACUAAAAAGAAGUUAAAAUGAAUUUUCUCGGAAUUAAACAAGUUUCUACAAUUGUUUUAGUACCAAAAACCCUUUUUAUAUUUUAUAUUUCAUUUAACAACACCCUGGACUGCGCACAGGAUUACUGAAGAAUAUAUGGGCUACAUCAUAAAAAUUCUUAAGACUCAGAUUCAAUCUGUGUGGGACUGCGGGUUGUUUAUCAAUAAAUCCAGGGACUCUUUUGUAAAGCCACCGACCAAAGAGGUAUCCAGGAACCCCAGACGUCAGAUUAGAAAUCAACGGUGCCGAUUAGAUCGAUUACAUAAACGGAUCAUUAUGCAGUGCCGAUGGUCCGAUCCAAAAUCUAUGCUCCAUAUUUCCCCGUGUCCAGAUCUAGUAUGAUUCUCACGAUCUCCAACCAACAACCACGAUUCACUGGCCGCCAAUUGGUAACCCAUAGCUAAUCUCGACCGUCGACUAUGGAUCAGACGGUGUGCGGUCUAUCUCCCUCAUCUGACCGCGACCGGCGGUGGUGGCGCCCUGGAGGUCAAAUCGUGCCGGCGAACUCUUCCUGCCCGGUGAUUCAGAGCACCAUACUUCGAUUCUACUAGCGCUAAAUGAAGAGGACGACCGCACGAACACGGAGGACGUAUACUCACCGACGGUUAUGGCGUCGAGUCUCCUGGCGACGAUGUGGUGCGGCUUGAGCGCCAACCAAGACUUCAGUGAGGAAUUCCCGGUGAUGUAGGGGCCAAUCCCGCCGACUAUGUUGUGGAGGCCUUUCCCCUCGGUCUGUAGAUGGCUCCGGACUCCACACACGGCGCGGAUGGCGGCUCGGUGAAAAGUUCCUCCGCAGCGGCACCACACUUCCUCUCCCUCUCUGGUUUGCGACGUGGCCAGGGUUUCCAAGGUUCAGGAUGGUGCGGACGGGUCCCAGGGGCGCUAAAUAUGGACAUGAGUGGUGGCCGAGGAGUCCGGAAGGUGGAUGGCUAACUGGUCGGUCCUGGGGAAAUUGCAACGAUGGUUGCGCGCGGGGAAGAAGUACAGUGGAGGGGGGCCACC
rnacentral:lncRNA from 1 species